UUACAGUCAUAUCACAUUGAAAUAUCGGUUCACGUACGAUCACCAAAGUUAAGCAACGAUGGGGCUGGUCAGUACCUAGGUGGGUGAACGCUUGGGAAACCAGGUGGUGUA